CUCUUUUUAUCCCUGUUUCAGCCAGGUAAGACUGAACUGCCACAUAAAUGGAUGCUCUCUAGAGCUCCAAGGAAAAGCUAAACUUUGUUUACCAUGAUCCAUAAACCACUUAUCACUGAGUGAAGGCCUCUCCCUGUCCCUUUUCUCCUGCCAUGGAGACCAUAUGGACCUCACCUGGCUUUGUGUUUUGGUUUCCUUCCAGACUUCCCAUUCCUUGCCACACAGUGCAAAGGGCUUCUCCAGCCUACUGUAGAUGACCAUGGAGAAAGGCACUAAGGCAGAGGGCACUAAUGGAACUAAUGAGCUGAUUGUCACCAACUUGUAUAAUGAGGCGUGUCUGGGGGCUGAUCAGAUGAUGCCAUCAAUCCAAGUUCCUCAGAGCACUCCCUCCUUCUGCAGAGCUCCCUGCGAGGCGGUGGGCACCUGCACUGUAUCCUUGCUUUUCAGCCUCCAAGGUGAUGGUUCCCAUAAGAGAGGCAAAAGUGAGGCAUUGAGUGGCUACAGGGUGAUGAUUUUCUGGUCCUUGUCUUAACACUUCAGGGGUGAUUCCUCUGGGAGGUGGUUUGCCUGCUGGUAAAGCCUAUUUAGCAUAAUAAAGUUACCGACCAAGGAGGAGUCCUGUCACCCAGCUCUGACAUAAAAAGGACAGCAACAGGGAUUUGCCUGACUUAAUGGAGGGGUGAGGGCUGGGGGACUGAGCUGGG